AGGAGAUUUUUUUUUUCAUUUUUUCAUUUUAUACAUACAGUACAAAACCGUGACCGUCAUCGUUACCCGUUUUAUAGAAUGAAACCGGAAAAUAAUCGACCCGUUUUCGUAAAUAUUUAAUCGAGGUGCUCGAACAACAAUUAUUAUUUAUCCCAUGCCCGUGAAAUAUUCAAACAAAUGCACGAUUCAAAGUAGGUCCUAUCCGACUUAUC